GCCAGGCGGAAUGGGGGUUCCAUCCCAGCCGAGCCGAGCCAACCCGAGACCUCGGGUCGAAGCGCGUUGCCCCUGAGGCGAGAGGAGAGGAGACUCUGCUGGUGGUGAGGAAGCGCGGCAACGGCUGGAAACGGCCGCCCGUUCGCCGGGGCGGGCCCGAGGCAGAGCGCCCCCAGCAGGUGCACCUCAGACCGAGCGAUUCGGGCCGAGAUGUGGAUUUGGGUCUCGGAUGGCUGGAGGGAGCCGGCAGUGAGGAUCGCCGUGUCGGGGAGGAUCGCGCUGUGAGGUUACCGAUAAGGAGCGUGGGAGAGAGUGG
rnacentral:lncRNA from 1 species